rnacentral:rRNA from 1 species
UUCUUUAAUAGCUAAUAAUUUAUCUGGGAAGGUAUACGAUACAGAGUUACAGUCUCGUAAUGGCUAUUAAGUAUGGGUAUCUAAAUCGAGUCGGGUAGCUUGAGAGUGCUGCCUUAAUUUGGGUGGUAUGCCCCAUCUAAAGCUAAAUAUCAUAAGGAGACCGAUAGCGUAAAAGUAGUGUGAACGAACGAUGAAAAGAAUUCUAAGACAGANNAUAUGCGCCCGUCUUGAAACACGGAUUAGGGAGUUUUACUGUAGUGCGAGUUUUUGCUCUAAAAAAGUAAAGGCGUAAGGAAAGUGACUGGAUUUUUCAUGGCGCUUGAGCACUAGUGUAAGAACCCGAAUGGUGGUGAACUAUGCCUGCACAAGACGAAGUCAGGGGAAACUCUGAUGGAGGUCUGUAGCGAUAUUGAUGUGCAAAUCAUUUGUCAGAUGUGGGUAUAGGUGCGAAAGACUCAUCGAACCACCUAAUAGCUGGUUUCCUCCGAAGUUUCCCUCAGGAUAGCUGUAACUUUUUUUAGUUAAGGGGGGUAGAGACAUGGGUAGAGGUUUACUGGUUCUUCGGAUUUGGAGCCUAUUUCCAAACUUCGAAUCUCCUUGUUUAUAACUUUACCUAAUAGGAAAUUUUUAAAAGAAUAUAAGUUACAAGUGGGCUCUGACUGGUAAGCGGUCAUGGCGAAAAGGGAUGAACCUAACACGUAAAUAAGGUGCCUAAAUAUACUACCAAUGAAACCAUUAAAGGAGUCCAUGUAUUUAGACAGCAGGUCGGUGCCCCUAAAAGCAGGUAUCCGCUAAUGAGUGUGUUAAAACUCCCCUGCCGAAUACUCGGGCCCUGAAAAUGAAUGGCGCAUAUAGUAUUACCGAUAUUACGUAUUUGUUGUUGAAACAAAGAGUAGGGGGACGUGGAUAUUUUUAUGAAGUUUAAUCGUAAGAUUGAAUCGAAGAAUAUCUAUUGCACAUCCUAAUUGAAGUAGCGAUUAUCCAGGUUUACAUCCUGGGGGCUGAUGAGGAGUAGGGUUUCUGGGCAACAUAUACUGUCCCAGAGUUAGUCGGUCCUAAUCAGAUUAAUCUGAAAAAGGGAAUACGGUUGAUAUUCCGUAACUAUCAAAAGUCUGGUGGUAACACUAUUUAACAAUCUCCGUCGAUUGAAUACCGUGAUUAGGGAUUUCUUUCCUAAAUGACAUGACUUUAUAUCCUAGGAAUCAGGUCAACUGGAGAUUAUUGGAUAUUAAUUAGGCAAAGUGAGGAUUCGUUCUCACCAUCGGCUAUUCAAUUGAUCCAUGAAGCGAUUGUUAUUUGACUUAGAUAGGCGUACCGAUGACCGCAUCAGGUCUCCGAGGUGAGAAGCCUAUGGCCAUUGAGGUGUGGUAGUUCAGGGAAUUCGGCCAAUUGGAGCUGUAACUUCGGGAUAAAGCUUGGCUCUGAUGGAAAUCAGAACCGAUUGUUACAAGGAGAGCCCAACUGUUUAAUAAAAACGCAGUGUCGCGCUGAAGUCUUACAGCUUGUGAACGCGACAUGAAUCCUGCUCAGUGCUGUGUCUGUUAAAAUGGUUCAAGCCAACGAAGCACCGGUAAAUAGCUGGGGUAACUAUGACUCUUAUCAAAGUAGCGAAAUACCUCGUCACUUAAUUAGUGACCUGCAUGAACGGAGCUAUGAGGUUCUCACUGUCCCAAACUAUCUCUCAGCGAACCAACUGUNNGCUAGAUAGAAAGUUUGGCUGGGGCGGCACACCUUCGAAAGUGCAGCGAAGGUGUCCUAAGUUGAGCUCAGUGAGGACAGAAAUCUCACGUCGAGGAUAAGGCCAAAAGCUCAAUUUACUGUGCCUUUUUGUACUAGGACCAGUUUGGAAACAAAGGCCUAACGAUCCCUAAUUUGUGGUAGGUGUGUACCACUUGGGGUGACAGACAAGUUACCUCCGGGACAACUGGCUUGUGGCUGCUAAGAGAUCAAAUCAACGCAGCUUUUUGAUUCUUCGAUGUCGGCUCUUCCUAUCCUAGUGAUGCAUAAGUCACUAAGGGUUGGAUUGUUCACCCGUAUUAGGGAUCGUGAGCUGGGUUUAGACCGUCGUGAGCCAGGUUUGUUUUAUCCUACUGGAUAUUCCAUCAUGAUAGUAGUUUGAUUUAGUACGAGAGGAACCGUUGAAUAUGGCCUCUGGUUCAGGGAUUUUGGGAAACCAAACGUCCCGCAGCUACGCCGUCUGGGAUAAUGGCUGAAGGCCUCUUAAGCCAGAAACUCAUCUAAAAAUUGAUGGAUACUUAUUAUACGCUGCGUCAAAAUAUUUUU